rnacentral:tRNA from 2 species
GCAGGCAUCGUCCAAAGGUAGGACGGCGGGCUUCCAUCCCGUCGAUGCGGGUUCGAGUCCCGCUGUCUGCU